GAUCCUGGCUCAGAAUCAACGCUGGCGGCGUGCCUAACACAUGCAAGUCGAACGCGAAAGUGGAGCAAUCCAUGAGUAGAGUGGCGAACGGGUGAGUAACGCGUGGGUGACCUACCUCCGAGUGGGGGAUAACGUCCCGAAAGGGACGCUAAUACCGCAUGAUGUUCUGCCUUUGAACAGGUGGAAACCAAAGCCGGGGAUCGCAAGACCUGGCGCUUGAAGAGGGGCUCGCGUCUGAUUAGCUAGUUGGUGAGGUAACGGCCCACCAAGGCGACGAUCAGUAUCCGGCCUGAGAGGGCGGACGGACACACUGGGACUGAGACACGGCCCAGACUCCUACGGGAGGCAGCAGUGGGGAAUUGUUCACAAUGGGCGCAAGCCUGAUGACGCAACGCCGCGUGGAGGAUGAAGGUCUUCGGAUUGUAAACUCCUGUUGCUCGGGACGAAAAGCUCUGACCUAACACGUCAGAGUGUGACGGUACCGAGUGAGGAAGCCCCGGCUAACUCUGUGCCAGCAGCCGCGGUAAUACAGAGGGGGCAAGCGUUGUUCGGAAUUACUGGGCGUAAAGGGCGCGUAGGCGGCCUGCUAAGUCGAACGUGAAAUCCCCGGGCUCAACCCGGGAACUGCGUCCGAUACUGGCAGGCUUGAAUCCGGGAGAGGGAUGCGGAAUUCCAGGUGUAGCGGUGAAA
rnacentral:rRNA from 1 species